GUUUUAAUAAUUUAAGUAAAAUACUGGUCUUGUAAACCAGAAAUAAGUGCAACUUUUAAAACU
rnacentral:tRNA from 1 species